rnacentral:rRNA from 1 species
GGUGACCCAAACCCUCACCAGAGUAGCAAUUGGAGGGCAAGUCUGGUGCCAGCAGCCGCGGUAAUUCCAGCUCCAAUAGCGUAUAUUAAACUUGUUGCAGUUAAAAAGCUCGUAGUUGUAUUUUUGCGUUGRCGGUUUGACCAUUUGGUUGGUUAUUUCGUUUUCGCUUUUGGGAAUUUCCCUUUUUACUUUGAGAAAAUUAGAGUGUUUCAAGCAGACUUUUGUCUUGAAUACUUCAGCAUGGAAUAAUAGAGUAGGACUUUGGUUCUAUUUUGUUGGUUAUUGAACCUUAGUAAUGGUUAAUAGGAACGGUUGGGGGCAUUC